UGGGGAAUUUUGGACAAUGGGCGAAAGCCUGAUCCAGCAAUGCCGCGUGUGUGAAGAAGGCCUUCGGGUUGUAAAGCACUUUUGUCCGGAAAGAAAUCCUUGGCUCUAAUACAGUCGGGGGAUGACGGUACCGGAAGAAUAGGCACCGGCUAACUACGUGCCAGCAGCCGCGGUAAUACGUAGGGUGCAAGCGUUAAUCGGAAUUACUGGGCGUAAAGCGUGCGCAGGCGGUUUGCUAAGACCGAUGUGAAAUCCCCGGGCUCAACCUGGGAACUGCAUUGGUGACUGGCAGGCUAGAGUAUGGCAGAGGGGGGUAGAAUUCCACGUGUAGCAGUGAAAUGCGUAGAGAUGUGGAGGAAUACCGAUGGCGAAGGCAGCCCCCUGGGCCAAUACUGACGCCCAUGCACGAAAGCGUGGGGAGCAAACAGGAUUAGAUACCCUGGUAGUCCACGCCCUAAACGAUGUCAACUAGUUGUUGGGGAUUCAUUUCCUUAGUAACGUAGCUAACGCGUGAAGUUGACCGCCU
rnacentral:rRNA from 1 species